UGCAGUAUCCCUCCGCAGCGCCAGGCGGCGGUGCUGAGCUCAGUGAUAGAAACCACAGAAGAAGAAGCAGAACGUAAACAGACGCCUUUCUGUCGCAGUUUCUUCGUUAAAGUAGGAAUAUAAAAGAUGUUGAGCCUCAGCAGACGGGAUGUAACCGGGAUCUACUCUCUGGUGUUGCUGGCUGUGGUGGUUUUAUCCUGGACCUACGUCAUCUACGCAAGCAGGGUCGCAGCUGAUUGGCUGCUGGAGGCAAGACCCGCCCUCCUGCAGCAGCACUGACAGCUGAUUGGCUGCUGGAGGAAAGACCCGCCCUCCUGCAGCAGCACUGACAGCUGAUUGGACAGAAAGUGCCUGCAGACGGAUUGAACCCCCUCCUCGCUGAGACCUCCAGAACCUCGUCAUCAACAGACCGGCAGCACAAACCGCUCUGAGGGAAAGAUCCAGCAGGACAGAACCUCUCAGACUCGUUGUGUUUGUGCUGAAAGUCUGCUGGGACCACUUCGUUGUUACAGCUCGUGUCUGAAUAUUAUUUUGAGUUUUAAAAUAAUGAAUGCGACGCAUAGAUCCGGAGAGGAGAGGUCUCCUUUGUAAUUAAUCCUGUUUCAUUAGGCAGUGCGGUUCAUGAGCAGAAAGUACAGCCCUGAUCCCUCCACCUGUUGUGUUUUCACCUCAUUAAUAAACACUUAUGUAACCUCGUUAGCGUCAGCAAGCUUCUCCUCCUCCUCCUGCGCUCUGAUUGGCUGAUGACACGGACGCCACGUCCAGCAGCGGCCAAUCAGAUGCACUGUGAACAAAGAGCAAGCCGGUGAAUGGAAACGCAUUGAGAGGGUCCUGUGAUGUAUUCAUGAAAGGGAAGCAGCGGCUCUCAAAGGUGUGCUGCGGGCUGUCGUCGGGCAGACAUCCCGGGAUGGAGGAGAACAGCCGCUCCUCAUCCUCCUCCUCCUCCUCCUCUUCGUUGGUGUGUUUGGACGCCCCCCCGUCCCUACAGAGCAGGGUGUUCUUCUUCCCCUCCAGCCAGUACGUCACCAUGUCCCCUUUCCCCUUCACAGAGAUAUUCAGGUUCAUUUAUGGAUUCACAGAACAGCCCAAUGUGUUUUAUGACAGGUCUCAGUUUUAUUUCCUGUCCCUAAAACCUCCUGACGAAUGAAGGAGUCCAGCCUCUCAAUAAAAACAGUUGUGUGGGUUUAAUAUUUACAAAAGAGCCAAAUGUUACUCUCUAAAAUCUGUGUUCUUGAAUCUCAGGUCGUUUUGAAAUGAAAUGUAUUCAUAUUUAAUUUCCUAUAAUAAAUAUGUCUAUGAA